rnacentral:tRNA from 1 species
GCCUGGAUGGCUCAGUAGGUUAAGCAUUUGACUUCGGCUCAGGUCAUGAUAUCACGGUUUGUGGGUUCAAACCCCAUGUCGGGCU